CAUGUGAGUAUAUAUGUGUGUGUGCAUGUGCCUGUGUAUGUAUGUGUGUGUAUGCAUGUGUGUGCAUGUACCUGUGUGUGUGCCUGUGCCUGUGUGUAUGUGUGUGUGUGCACAUGUGUAUG
rnacentral:miRNA from 1 species